GAACAAGGAAGGACGAAACGUGUGCAGCAGUGAGUUGUGCUUUGGAGGUUACGCGGAGAGCGAACGCGUUUGCAUCGAGCACAAUGCCCGUCAAAUUUAGCUGCCUGUUCGAGGAAGGAUAUUGCAUAUCGGACCAAGAUGUACUUUCUCGUGACAUUCCUGGUGGCACCGCAGGACCAGACCUUGGCUUUCCACCAGCGGCAGUUGCUCAGUGCAUUCUCAGAGUUUACGACUGUCUUGAGAAACUUCCCAUCCGGUGUACAAGACAACCACAAGGAGUCAAGGAUAAGGACGCGGCUUCAUUUGGCAGGCGCCCCCGCCAAGGAGACCCGUAGACGACGCCCCCUCCCCAACCCCCACCACCACCGCCACCGCCACACAGCACCGCUCAACCCCUCCCCCGACGCCGAUUGAUCAUCAUCAGGAGCCAAACGCUCCCGUGUGAAGUCACUGACGAGGCCGACGGUUUUUCCCGAAAAAGCGUUGUCAAUAUUUUCCCAAACUUCAUCCGUGG